rnacentral:tRNA from 2 species
GCCUUUCUAGUACAAAAUUAGUACAAAUGACUUCCAAUCAUUUAAUCUUGACUAAAACCCAAGGAAAAGCA